GGUUUUUCUCGUUAUGAACUUUUCCUCUCAUCACGCAACUGCAGAGGACUCGGCGGACGGACGGACGGACGAACGAACAAUGACACCCACGAAGAGUGAUUUUUGGUCCCGCUCGGCUGGCCUGGCUUGGGAUGGACUGAACAACAUCUUUACGCAUACUACAUACCCCUUACUACGUACUACUUAAUAACCUGGGACUGGAGAGAGUUGAGGACAGAUCAGGAAGCGGUGGGCAAUACACAGGCCCAACUUUGGUUUCGAGACCUGGUGUAUGAUGGCAGAUGAUAUCGGGCAAAUGUGUUGAAAGGGGGAUUAAGGAGGCAAUGCGUUGAAGGGUUGAGAAAGCUCCCGCACAAUGCAAAGAAAGAAGCGGAGGAUGCGAAAUCCUGGCGGGGCCGGUGAUCAGAAACGAAAAGAAAUCGAAUGAGUUUCCUUGUUUAUCAAACAAUAAAGCCGGCGACGAGGCUGCGAUGACAUCCACGCACGAUUGGCUGCCUCGUCUUUACCAGAGAUGAGGGUUCUAAUAAGUUCGGCGGGUCCGCACCGCAAAGUGCGCUGGGAUAGGUGACGGGUCUGCCGGUCCUUGUACUUGGCUGACCGAGGGACGAAUCUGGAAACCUAAGAGGUCGUUUCGGGUGUGUUAAUCCAGGGAAAAGUAACAUUGUCCGAUUUUCAAGUCGGCCUGCAAUACGCCUUUUCUCGAUUGUGUCUUAGUCCUUAAAUCUUCUAUACUUUCACUGUAUGAAUCAUGUUAAAACUCUUUUCUCAGUUAAAUUUUUUUCUUCUGUGGCGUUAUGGAUCGGGCAGCAGGGAGUCCAAGAAGAUAUGGCAGACCCAAUGGGAAAAACAAUGAGUUGAAAAGACGACAGAAUAUGUAGGGGAAGGGGGAAAGGUUGGGAGAAAUGUAGGGAGAAAUCACGAAGACAGGAAAGGAAAGGUUGGAAGAACAAGGGACAUGUACUAGGUCUUAUGCUGUACUUUACACUUAUACCAGCUGAUGGUUUGGUAACUGCC